UACUACUACUACUACUACUACUACUACUAUUACUACUGUUACUACUACUACUACUACUACUACUACUACUAGACUAAUGAUACUAGACUACUGCUGCUACACCUGGCUUUCUCUGGGACUAGGUGGUGGCUGGGUGGACUAGGUGGUGGCUGGGUGGACUAGGUGGUGGGUGGACUGGGUGGACUAGGUGGUGGCUGGGUGGACUAGGUGGUGGGUGGACUAGGUGGUGGGUGGACUAGGUGGUGGCUGGGUGGACUAGGUGGUGGGUGGACUAGGUGCUGGGUGGACUAGGUGCUGGGUGGACUAGGUGGUGGCUGGGUGGAAUAAGUGGUGGUUGGGUGGACUAGGUGUUGGCAGGGUGGACUAAGUGGUGGGUGGACUAGGUGCUUGCUGGGUGGACUAGGUGCUUGCUGGGUGGACUAGGUGCUGGUUGGGUGGACUAGGUGGUGGCUGGGUGGACUAGGUGGUGGGUGGACUAGGUGCUUGCUGGGUGGACUAGGUGCUUGCUGGGUGGACUAGGUGCUGGUUGGGUGGACUAGGUGGUGGCUGGGUGGACUAGGUGGUGGGUGGACUAGGUGGUGGCUGGGUUGACUAGGUGGUGGUUGACUGACUGCCUGUAUGAGCUAGAG
ensembl:lncRNA